rnacentral:lncRNA from 1 species
ACAUCUGGAUAGGCUGAAUGUAUACAAAGCAAUUCUCAAGAACCUACUUGGAUAUAGUUUCCAAAUAAUUCAUCCCUUUGACCCUUGAUGCUAGGAUGACUUAGAGUUUAAACUGUCAACUCUUAACAGUACAUUCAUUAUGUGUCUCAACCAAAUAAAUCCUGUGACUCCUCAUAAGAACUAUCCUGUCCAAGGUCUUACUAAAUUAAAACAUAAAGCAUUCUCUCCAAUCCCUUAGAGUGAUCAAUUCCAUC